AGUUCGAUCAUGGCUCAGAUUGAACGCUGGCGGGAUGCUGCACAUAUGCAAGUCCAGCGUCGAACGGCAACACGGACUUCGGUCUGGUGGCGAGUGACGGGCGCGGUGAGUAAUAUCGGAACGUGCCUAGUAGCGGGGGAUAACUACGCGAAAGCGUAGCUAAUGCCGCAUACGCCCUUCGGGGAAAGCGGGAAAGCCUUCGGGCCUCGCCUUCAAUGAAACGGCCGAUAUCGGAUUAGCCUAGUUGGUGGGGUAACGGCUCUGAAGGCGACGAUCAGCAGCUGGUUGAGAGGACGACCAGCCACACUGCCAGGACUGAGGCUUACGGCCCAGACUCCUACGGGAGGCAGCAGUGGGAAUUUUGGACAAUGGGGGAAACCCUGAUCCAGCCAUCCCGCGUGUGCGAUGAAGGCCUUCCGGGUUGCAACGCCUUUUGGCAGGAAAGAAACGGCACGGGAUGACACUGUUUUUAACGAUAAUUGCCACCUGGAACUCAUUUCAUUGAAACGGGCGCUGGCGCUGCGGUGGCCGUGGAGAUUUCAAACAGAUCGGAAUUACUGGGCGUAAAGCGUGCGCAGGCGGUUCGGAAAGAAAGAUGUGAAAUCCCAGAGCUUAACUUUGGAACUGUUUAACUACCGAGCUAGAGUGUGUCAGAGGGAGGUGGAAUUCCACCGUGUGGCGGUGAAAUGCGUAGAUAUGCAGGAGGAACACCGAUGGCGAAGGCAGCCUCCUGGGAUAACACUGACGCUCAUGCACAGCGUGGGGAGCGGCAAGAAGUUAGAUACCCUGGUAGUCACGCCCUAAACGUUAACAAAGCUAGCUGUUGGGGCCUUCGGGCCUUGGUAGCGCAAUAACGCGUGAAGUUGACCGCCUGGGAAUACGGUCGCAAGAUUAAAACUCAAAGGAAUUGACGGGGACCCGCACAAGCGGUGGAUGAUGUGGAUUAAUUCGAUGCAACGCCGAAAAACCUUACCUACCUUGACAUGUCUGGAAUCCCCGAAGAAUUUGGGAGUGCUCGCAAGAGAACCGGAACACAGGUGCUGCAUAUUGUCGUCAGUUCGUGUCGUGAGAUGUUGGGUUAAGUCCCGCAACGAGCGCAACCCUUGUCAUUAGUUGCUACGAGGCACUCUAAUGAGACUGCCAGUGACAAACCGGAGGAAGGUGGGGAUGACGUCAAGUCCUCAUGGCCCUUAUGGGUAGGGCUUCACACGUCAUACAAUGGUCGGGACAGAGGGUCGCCAGCCCGCGAGAAGAGGCCAAUCCCAGAAACCCGAUCGUAGUCCGGAUCGCAGUCUGCAACUCAGCUGCGUGAAGUCGGAAUCGCUAGUAAUCGCGGAUCAGCAUGUCGCGGUGAAUACGUUCCCGGGUCUUGUACACACCGCCCGUCACCAUGGAAUUAGGUUUCAGAAGUAGUUAGCUAACCGUAAAGGAGGGAGCGAUUACCACGGUAGGAUUCGCUGACUGGGGUGAAGUCGUAACAAGGUAA
rnacentral:rRNA from 1 species